UGGGACCACAUCAUGAUUUUGUCAAUGGUAUUGCUACAAUCUUUGCAAGUUAUUACAACUUUAACUUGCAGUAUCCUGAAGAUGCCUCAUCCACAUUGGAGUUUAUCCAAAGGUGUUUUUUGGGUAUUAACCCAGAGUCGGGCUCAAAAU